AUAUGGAACAAGCUCUCCAGCCACGUUAAAGCCUAUAGUCUGGCAGCUUUCAAGAAACAGCUGGAUGAAAUCCUUGGAUCACUUAGCUACAGUAUUAACUACCAAAUGGGCAAAUGACCUCCUCUUGUAUAUUACCUUCCUUAUAUUCCUAAAGGAAGCUCAUUAGAACCUUCCCCCCUUGCUAGCCAUCACAAAUGCAGAUGCUCUGGCUAUCAAAUUCAGUUUUCGUCCAUUCAUGCCCCACAAUAAUUCCAUGUGCUUCUUUUUCAGUGUCGGCAUUUCGGUAGGAUUGAGUCUGAGGGAAAGACGUCACACAAACCUCUAGUUCUCUAUGCCAGUGACCUUGCAAUUUCAGCGGAAUUUGGCCAUUUGUUAUCACAUUGAGAAACAAAUCUGCUACAGGUAGCCAUUCUUCCCAUGCAGGAAGGUUAUGUUCACAUAUUUACAGCAGGUGUUGGUUUUGUACUAACAGAAGAAUCCACCCGCCCACCUUCAUGAUUAAAGAUCCACGGAUGUCAAAGAAAGAUCAUGGAGUGUUUCAUGGAUUUUGAUGACUUCGUUCGGGAUCCAUCCUACAAGUUGCCUACCAGAUUGCAAGAAGAACUUAUCAUUUCCUUCCUGCACAGCGUGUCUUGUCAUUGCAAAAUGCAGGCUUCAAUCCUGGAGUGAGCUUUAAAAUUGCUACAGUGGGGGAUGGUGGCCUUGUGGGGUUCACAGGAGAGACUGAAGGGACCGUGGGAUGAAGGCAGCAAAUGGUUAUCAUCUGUCAUGAAAUCUGGAGCAGGAAAGCUGUGAGAGUGGUCACAGGUAUCGGUUCUCUUACCCGUAGUUAAACAACAAUAUAACAAAUCUUUCAACCUGCCUAAUAUAGUUCCA
rnacentral:lncRNA from 1 species